rnacentral:tRNA from 1 species
GCCGUCUUAGCUCAGUUGGUUAGAGCGCAGCCAUGGUAAGGCUGAGGUCUCCGGUUCGAUUCCGGAAGACGGCU